rnacentral:lncRNA from 1 species
UUGGACUCGAGCCGAUGGCACGACUGCGCGUCGUCGAACGAUUUUCGGGCUCAAGGACGGCCUAUAGUCGCGGCAGAGAAGACCAACUCCGUCGACUUAGUCGAUUCUCAAACAAAAAGAAGAAACACAAUAUAUGAGAAAAAAAAGUAUGCGGCGUAAAUCACUAUUAACUAAGAAAUUUAUAGCUCAAAAUCUAGGUUUUAAGUUUCCAUUAUUAAACAUCUUUCCAAAAACAAAUCUUUCCAAAAACAAAUCUUUCUAAACUUAAAUAUAAUCAUUCUAUAUUUACAAUGGCUGUGUAGGAAUUAAAACAAAUCUUUCCAAAAACAAAUCUUUCUAAACUUAAAUAUAAUCAUUCUAUAUUUACAAUGGCUGUGUAGGAAUUAAAUCAGGAAACUAAUUAAUACAUACCAAGAAUCACGGCAGAUCGCGGAGGGCGCCGGAGCGGGUGGUCCGGCGAAGCAGAAUGCAGCGGUGGGAGGUCCCACCAGUUGUGAUACAGCCCUGGCACCAAUGCGAUCAAAUUCUGGUACGUAAGCAGGGCUCCCACCGGGUGAGUGGAGGAUCGCCGCGGUGGAGCUCGGGGCGGAGGCGCGCAUUCGAGCAUUGAGAGGAACCGCGGCGAAUUCUACGAAGAGCGAAAAAGGGGAAAAAUGGGAAAACCCCAAAUCUGCAGAUACGAAAAGAGGG